rnacentral:piRNA from 2 species
UAAAUCCAUGCCAUGUUGCAGAGAGUU